rnacentral:lncRNA from 1 species
UUGCCUUUUACGCCUGUUGUAAAUGCAGUCACGUGGUCACGUGGGUCUGUAGUACCAUCAUAUUUCGGGAUGUCAGGCAUUUUGAACUUUUUCGGAAUUGGAAGGGGAGCAACACUAGGCUUCCAUGGUUGUUGUGAGUAUUUGUCCAUGUCUACUCUUUUUAUUAUAGGCGGAACUCCAGGGAUUUGUUCAAUACGCUCAUUUUGCUCCUUAAGCUGUUUCUGCAAGGUUAGUACUAAAUUUUGCAAAUACGAAUUAUUUAAAUUACCUGGUCCCCCUUCUUGUGGUUCACUAGGGGUUGCUCCAUUUCCAGAAUUAUCAAG